UGGUGGAGUGAUUUGUCUGGUUAAUUCCGUUAACGAACGAGACCUUAACCUACUAAAUAGUUACGUCAUUUCCGAAUGACGGCGAACUUCUUAGAGGGACUAUCGGAUUUCAAAACGAUGGAAGUUUGAGGCAAUAACA
rnacentral:rRNA from 1 species